rnacentral:misc_RNA from 1 species
UCCGUAGGUGAACCUGCGGAGGGAUCAUUACACAAUAAAAUACGAAGGCCGUUCGCGGCUGGACUAUUUAUUACCCUUGUCUUUUGCGCACUUGUUGUUUCCUGGGCGGGUUCGCUCGCCACCAGGACCACAAUAUAAACCUUUUUUAUGCAGUUGCAAUCAGCGUCAGUAUAACAAAUGUAAAUCAUUUACAACUUUCAACAACGGAUCUCUUGGUUCUGGCAUCGAUGAAGAACGCAGCGAAAUGCGAUACGUAGUGUGAAUUGCAGAAUUCAGUGAAUCAUCGAAUCUUUGAACGCACAUUGCGCCCUUUGGUAUUCCAAAGGGCAUGCCUGUUCGAGCGUCAUUUGUACCCUCAAGCUUUGCUUGGUGUUGGGCGUUUUUGUCUUUGGCCCGCCAAAGACUCGCCUUAAAAUGAUUGGCAGCCGGCCUGCUGGUUUCGCAGCGCAGCACAUUUUUGCGCUUGCAAUCAGCAAAAGAGGACGGCAAUCCAUCAAGACUCCUUCUCACGUUUGACCUCGGAUCAGGUAGGGAUACCCGCUGAACUUAAGCAUAUCAAUAAGCGGAGGA